rnacentral:rRNA from 1 species
UACGUAGGGUGCGAGCGUUGUCCGGAAUUAUUGGGCGUAAAGGGCUCGUAGGCGGUCUGUCGCGUCGGUAGUGAAAACUCGGGGCUUAACCCUGGGCCUGCAGUGGGUACGGGCUGACUAGAGUGCGGUAGGGGGAGACUGGAAUUCCUGGUGUAGCGGUGAAAUGCGCAGAUAUCAGGAGGAACACCGGUGGCGAAGGCGGAUCUCUGGGCCGUAACUGACGCUGAGGAGCGAAAGCAUGGGGAGCGAACAGG